UUUAGGUGUCUUAAAUUGAACCCCUGUUCCAUUCGAGCCUGUGCUAGAGGACGUGGUUUUCUUUCAAGCACCUUUAAUAAUAAUUUAUGUCUGUAAAUAUAUCGAAAAUUUAUUCAGACUCUGUAGCAUCUUUAAAAUUAGCCCAUUGCUUUAAUGUAGCAAAACUCUGUGAACUACACUACAACUGGUUGGUCCAACUUUAAAACAACGUUGUUAAAAGUAAAAUGCAUGCCUCUUCUCUUCUAAACUACCCCCGACUACCUAG